rnacentral:rRNA from 1 species
UGGGGAAUUUUUGGACAAUGGGCGAAAGCCUGAUCCAGCAAUGCCGCGUGUGUGAAGAAGGCCUUCGGGUUGUAAAGCACUUUUGUCCGGAAAGAAAUCCUCUGGGUUAAUGCCUCGGGGGGAUGACGGUACCGGAAGAAUAAGCACCGGCUAACUACGUGCCAGCAGCCGCGGUAAUACGUAGGGUGCAAGCGUUAAUCGGAAUUACUGGGCGUAAAGCGUGCGCAGGCGGUUUUGUAAGACGGAUGUGAAAUCCCCGGGCUUAACCUGGGAACUGCAUUCGUGACUGCAAGGCUAGAGUAUGGCAGAGGGGGGUAGAAUUCCACGUGUAGCAGUGAAAUGCGUAGAGAUGUGGAGGAAUACCGAUGGCGAAGGCAGCCCCCUGGGCCAAUACUGACGCUCAUGCACGAAAGCGUGGGGAGCAAACAGGAUUAGAUACCCUGGUAGUCUACGCCCUAAACGAUGUCAACUAGUUGUUGGGGAUUCAUUUCCUUAGUAACGUAGCUAACGCGUGAAGUUGACCGCCUGGGGAGUACGGUCGCAAGAUUAAAACUCAAAGGAAUUGACGGGGUCAUAGCUGUUUCCU